ensembl:lncRNA
CAUACCUGCAGAGAAUUGUUAAAGAUUGUCCAGAGCUCUCUCCUCUCCUGGACAUGAAGCCUUUCCUGUCAGUGAUGCAUGCAAAGGCCCACUCUUGGAAAUGUGAGAUUAAAUGGGGUGGUCGAAACCAAGAAGGAGCAGGCACCACCCUGGGGGAAGAGGUCGAACAAGUUAACAGCUUUUUGUCGAGAACUGCUAUAUGCAGUAAAUACAUGACCAAAGGAGCCAGAACAGACAUGAUUACAAUCCAGGCCAUGGCAUGGAAUCAGCGCAAAAUACGGAAACUUGCAAAAAGCGCUGUCCCUAAGAUUUAAAAAGGUAUAUUUCUAAAUUACUUUUCUCUUUUAUAGGUGAAAGCUUUCGUUUCUUUUAAUGUUUAAUUUGGCUGUAGUGUUUGUUGUGCAAACAAGUAGGCAAGCUGUGUAGAACAACCACUAGAAAGUCAAAAGCAUGAAUUUCAAAACAAAGUUUACUUAUGAAAAUGUUAUACACUUUUCCAUUUGAAAAAGGCUCAUUAGUCCUUUAUGAAUGUUAUUUAUUUAUUUAUUUUCUGUUUUAAUAAAUGCACUUUAUGGGAUUGUUAUUCAUUAGACAAAAAGCAAAAAAAUUCAGGAGGAGUCCUUAAAUCUUGAUGCAAUAAAGACAGACUUGGCAGUAACACAUGACACGCUUAUAGAUUGGACCAAUGAAAUCCAGCAAUGGGCUGAUACAGGUAGGCAUGUUUUAGGUAACCAUAGCACUAUACUUAUUGUUUUAAACCUUUAAGUAACAACUUGCCUCACUGACUGUAGUGCUGUGUAUGAUUUUCUGUUUAUACCUAAAUAUAAGCUUCAUCCUUAUACCUCUGAUGUAAUAAUAAUGCACAUAUUUAUUUCUAUUGUAAAUGCAUUUCUUAUCAAUAAUUUAGCAACAAGUGAGGAGAACACAGACAGUCAGCAGGUGCUCCAGAAGACUAUUGAGACGCUUUAUGUGAGCAUCAGGCAGAGAAAGCAAGAUCUUUACCGUCAAUCAGAUGGGAACAAGAGAAGACACAAACUCCGAAGAAAGAUUUUGGAAGAAAAAGCCAAAUUUUGUGCAGCUGUAGAUGACUACAACAGGGCAGCAACUGAAAAACUGCAGUCAGCUGAUACAAUACUGGCAUCUGAGAGCUAUGCAUGGCCAUGGGUCCUUGAUGAACGUGGUAUGUCUUGUUACUCAUUUAAAUUCGGAUGAAUGUACUGUGUUUAUGUAGCAGCUUAUCUGUUUACAGUGGAUAUUGUUUGCAACUGUUGUACAGCAGGAUAUUUUUGCAUGUUUCCUACAGUGUGUAUGCAUUUUGUCCGGCUAUAGCAAGCUUGUUCUGCAAUAGUGUAAGCACAUCUAGGACCGGUUUCACAGACAAGAGCUUAGACUAAGCUAGGAUUAGGUCAUAGGUUUAAGAUUUAAGUAGCUUUUAUAAAUGUGCCAUAGGAAACAAAAACAUUACUGGUGCGCUUCUUGCGACCAAACAAUAGCAUUAACAAAUUUUUAAGAUAUGUAAGUGCAGAUGGGUUUCAUCUUCACAGAUAAUCUUGCAACCAAAAAAGGCCUUUGACCAACUGAUGCUGCUGAACCGGCUUACUGAAGAGGAGUGCAUUGUUCUGAAAGAAAUCCGGAAUCACUGGAAAAAGCCUUACAAGGGAGCAUUCUCUUCUAAAUGAUCUUUUAAGUCAUGUUGCUGUUGAGAUAAA